rnacentral:tRNA from 1 species
GCCGGGAUGGUGGAAUUGGUAGACACGUACGUUUGAGGGGCGUAUGGCGUAAAGCCGUGAGGGUUCGAGUCCCUCUCCCGGCACCA